GGAACUCGAAUCGGUAACCAAAAUCAGCAAAACUUGAACGAACUACCUCGAACAAAAAUGUGACCCAAGAACAGAAAACCACUGACUCGACAACCACUGACCAGAGGCGACAACCACACUAACUCGACAAACUAAAAACCAUACCAGAAAACACUUAAUUUCGUCUGUGUAUAUAUGGACGUGUGUGUGAAGUUAAAGGAUGGGGAAGAUGGCAAUAAGAGUGGGGCCGUUGGUGGCUUGAAUCGCGGUGGAUCUAAUGUCGGAGGCUGGAAAUGACUGGAGGUUGUGUUCAGAGGAAGUUCAGGUGGUCUUCUGGCUGCCGUUUUCCGUCGAGCUGAUGUGAGGUGAGGGAGUGGCGGCUGCUAUGAUAUUCACGGUGGUCUUGGUCGUUUGAUGGCUGACAGAAGUAGGGAUCGUUGGUGUUGAGAAUUCCAGCGAGUUUGGGUUGGGAGAUGGGUGAUGGUGGCCGGCGGCGUUCAAGGUGGUCGUUCGGUGGCUCUGUGUCUUUGUGAAGAAGAAGAUGGAGUUCAAAGGUCUCUAGGGUUCUUAGGAUUUUUGUUUUCUCUUGUCCAGUGUAAAAGAAGAAGCCAUGGAUACCUCUAAGCCUUUUGUUUUCUGUAUUUUGUCGUUUCUUUAUUGAAGAAACUCAUUUCUUGAUCCAGAACCAAAGAGCUCAAAAAUCUAUUCCAAAAACGGCCGCCUCUCCUUGGUUUUCCAUGUCUUCAAGUUUUCAUGGUUUAGGUUAUUUUAAGGAAGAAGGUGUGAUGAAUUACAUGGGUUUGAAUGGGUUUUGGGCGUGGGUCAUGGGUUGAUGGCUUAAGGAAUUGGGUUGUUAAAUUUUGAGUCUUUAUUUGUUAAAAUUAGGCCAAAAAAGCACUGAAAAAUAUAAUUUUGUUAUAAAUACACUUCUAUUUAAGGUGAAUGUCUUUAAUUAGAGAGAUUCUAG
rnacentral:lncRNA from 1 species